UACGUAGGGUGCGAGCGUUGUCCGGAAUUACUGGGCGUAAAGAGCUCGUAGGUGGUUUGUCGCGUCGUCCGUGAAAUCCCAUGGCUUAACUGUGGGCGUGCGGGCGAUACGGGCAGACUUGAGUACUGCAGGGGAGACUGGAAUUCCUGGUGUAGCGGUGGAAUGCGCAGAUAUCAGGAGGAACACCGGUGGCGAAGGCGGGUCUCUGGGCAGUAACUGACGCUGAGGAGCGAAAGCGUGGGGAGCAAACAGGAUUAGAUACCCU
rnacentral:rRNA from 1 species